UACGUAGGGAGCAAGCGUUUGUCCGGAAUCAUUGGGCGUAAAGCGCGCGUAGGUGGCUUCAUAAGUCCGUUGUGAAAGUCAAAGGCUCAACCUUUGAAAGCCGAUGGAUACUGUGAAGCUAGAGUACGGAAGAGGCGAGUGGAAUUCCUGGUGUAGCGGUGGAAUGCGCAGAUAUCAGGAGGAACACCAAUAGCGAAGGCAGCUCGCUGGGACGUUACUGACACUGAGGCGCGAAAGCGUGGGGAGCGAACAGG
rnacentral:rRNA from 1 species